rnacentral:rRNA from 1 species
GACUAUGGCCAUGCCACCCUGAACAUGCCGGAUGGUCUGAUCUCGGAAGCUAAGCAGGGUCGAGCCUGGUUAGUAAUUGGAUGGGAGACCACCUACGAAGACCAGGUGCUGUAGGCG